rnacentral:rRNA from 1 species
UGGCGGCGUGCUUAACACAUGCAAGUCGAACGGUGAUGCCCAGCUUGCUGGGCGGAUCAGUGGCGAACGGGUGAGUAACACGUGAGUAACCUGCCCCAGACUCCGGGAUAAGCCUUGGAAACGAGGUCUAAUACUGGAUACGAGACGCCCCUGCAUGGGGAGUGUCUGGAAAGAUUUAUCGGUCUGGGAUGGACUCGCGGCCUAUCAGCUUGUUGGUGGGGUAAUGGCCUACCAAGGCGACGACGGGUAGCCGGCCUGAGAGGGCGACCGGCCACACUGGGACUGAGACACGGCCCAGACUCCUACGGGAGGCAGCAGUGGGGAAUAUUGCACAAUGGGCGAAAGCCUGAUGCAGCGACGCCGCGUGAGGGAUGAAGGCCUUCGGGUUGUAAACCUCUUUCAGCAGGGAAGAAGCGCAAGUGACGGUACCUGCAGAAGAAGCGCCGGCUAACUACGUGCCAGCAGCCGCGGUAAUACGUAGGGCGCAAGCGUUGUCCGGAAUUAUUGGGCGUAAAGAGCUCGUAGGCGGUUUGUCGCGUCUGGUGUGAAAACUCAAGGCUCAACCUUGAGCUUGCAUCGGGUACGGGCAGACUAGAGUGCGGUAGGGGUGACUGGAAUUCCUGGUGUAGCGGUGGAAUGCGCAGAUAUCAGGAGGAACACCGAUGGCGAAGGCAGGUCACUGGGCCGCAACUGACGCUGAGGAGCGAAAGCAUGGGGAGCGAACAGGAUUAGAUACCCUGGUAGUCCAUGCCGUAAACGUUGGGCACUAGGUGUGGGGCUCAUUCCACGAGUUCCGUGCCGCAGCAAACGCAUUAAGUGCCCCGCCUGGGGAGUACGGCCGCAAGGCUAAAACUCAAAGGAAUUGACGGGGGCCCGCACAAGCGGCGGAGCAUGCGGAUUAAUUCGAUGCAACGCGAAGAACCUUACCAAGGCUUGACAUACACCGGAAACUUCCAGAGAUGGUUGC